UUAGCCCUACGGGGGGCAGCAGUGGGGAAUAUUGGGCAAUGGGCGCAAGCCUGACCCAGCAACGCCGCGUGAAGGAAGAAGGCUUUCGGGUUGUAAACUUCUUUUAACAGGGAAGAGCAGAAGACGGUACCCCUUGAAUAAGCCACGGCUAACUACGUGCCAGCAGCCGCGGUAAUACGUAGGUGGCAAGCGUUGUCCGGAUUUACUGGGUGUAAAGGGCGUGCAGCCGGAGAGACAAGUCAGAUGUGAAAUCCACAGGCUCAACCUGUGAACUGCAUUUGAAACUGUUUCCCUUGAGUAUCGGG
rnacentral:rRNA from 1 species